GUGGCCUGCUGACUGCAUCUGCCAGAUGACUACCAAUGUGAGAUUCUCUCUCCCUUGCUGUCUUUGAAAAAGCAAGUUGCCAUGUGAAGAGGGCCAUAUAGCAUAGGAGCUGAAGGCAGCCUCCAACUGACGGCAAGAAAAUGAGGUCCUCAGUCUGACAACCUGCAAGAAACUGAAUGUUCUAAAAGCCACAUGAGCUUGGGAGCAGAUCUGACCCCAGCCAAAUCUCUGAAGUCCGCAGGCAGGAAAUGAAGAUCAGAAAAAGGCUAUUGUCUCAUGAAUAUGAGCCAGACUCCACAGAAGCUGGAGUCCUUCAUUAUGGAGCUAAACACAUACACCUGGCUUAGGAGUCAGAAAAACUGAAAGAGAAUUCAGGGAAGUAGAGAAAUUGCAAGCCCAGAUGCUGCUUCAUACCAAAGAAGCAAGUCAGCAGGUCAGCAACAAUGUGUAUCAGUUCCAAAAUGACUUACACAGGUACCAAGACAAGACAUUAUAUACACUUAUAUAGUCAAAUACUUUAAAACUGUUAACAAACUUGCUACAAUUGUCUCAUUUGUCUUUUAACCUUAAUAUCACAGAUCAAGUUUGUAAUCUCAAAAGUUCACCCUGGCUGCUGUGUGGAGUAUUCUCUUAUCUGCUCAUAUUACACUGUGCUUAUUCAUUCAUCAGUUAAUGGAAAUUUGGGUUGUUUCCUGAUUUUGACUGUAAUGAAUAAUGUUGCUGUAAACAUUCAUGUACAGUUUUGUGUGGACAUGCUUUUCUUUCUCUUGGGUAGGUUCCUAUGAGUGGAAUCACUAGAUUGUAUGGUAAAUGUAUGUUUAACUUUUAAAGAAACUGUCAAACUGUUUUCUAACAUGAACGGGCCAUUUUACGUUCUUAUCAACAAUAUAUGAUGGUUUCAAUUUUCCCACAUCCUCACCAACAUUUGGUAUUGUCUCUCUUUUACAUCAUAACUAUUUUAGUGGGGAUGUAGUGAUAUCUUAUCGUGGUUUUAAUUUGUGUCUCCCUAAUGACUAAUGAUAUUGUGCAUCUUUGCAUAUGCUUGUUAGCCAUUUAUGUACAUUCUUUAGUGAAAUGGCUAUUCAAAUCUUCUGCCCAUUUAAAAAUCGAGUUGUUUUUCUUAUUAUUCAGUUGUAAGAGUUUUUUCUUUAUUCUGUGCAAAAGUCCUUUAUCAAGUCUAGGAUUUUUGAAUAUUUUCUCAACCUAGAGCUUGUUUUUCAACAUUUUUUUCUUAAUGAUCUUUUGAAGUGCAAAAGUUUGAUUUUGAUGAAGUCUAAUGUAUCACUUCUUCCUUUAACUGUCAUGAUUUUUGUGUCGUAUCUAAGAACUCUUUACCCAACUCAAAGUUACCAAGGUAUUUUCUUCCAGAAGUUUUGCAGUUUUAACUCUUCU
rnacentral:lncRNA from 1 species